CUAAUUUGGAUGCUUUCAGUAAACUGCACCAGAGGUCCCCUUCCCCCAAGAGAGCUGAAUGACGCAGCCCUUGCCUCCACCGCAGAGCGCUGGACAGAGAAUUACACUGUAACUAUAGCUCUUUCUUCAGCGACCCAGCAGCUGCACCACAAAACAAACUUGAGAGUCUGAAGCUUCCAGGGCUCUGACUUACAAGGAAAGAAGAGCAAUAAGUGGAUUGUUUUACACAAUUUGAAAGAUUCUAGACUGCUGGAGUCCCAGUGCCACGUGGCUGACUCAGACCAGCCUGGCAGAGGAUUUGGGACCAAAGUCCGGAGAAGGGAAACGACAUGACACUGAAAGGUCACUCAGCUGCUUCCUAGAGAUCAGAGUGUGAAGUUCAAGUGUGAAAGCAGCAAGACCAGUCAGGGGGCUGCUGUGGGGGCCCAGGACAGAUGACACGGC
ensembl:lncRNA